rnacentral:misc_RNA from 1 species
AAGUCGUAACAAGGUUUCCGUAGGUGAACCUGCGGAAGGAUCAUUAAUGAAUAUUACUUAUUCAUCCCAUGUUAAACUGUCUAUUAUAUCUAUAAAUUAAAAUACAUUUUAUAACUUAUACAACUUUUAACGGUGGAUCUCUUGGUUCCU